rnacentral:rRNA from 1 species
AUUGAACGCUGGCGGCAUGCCUUACACAUGCAAGUCGAACGGUAACAGGUCUUCGGAUGCUGACGAGUGACGAACGGGUGAGUAAUACAUCGGAACGUGCCCGAUCGUGGGGGAUAACGCAGCGAAAGCUGUGCUAAUACCGCAUACGAUCUACGGAUGAAAGCGGGGGAUCGCAAGACCUCGCGCGGACGGAGCGGCCGAUGGCAGAUUAGGUAGUUGGUGGGAUAAAAGCUUACCAAGCCGACGAUCUGUAGCUGGUCUGAGAGGACGACCAGCCACACUGGGACUGAGACACGGCCCAGACUCCUACGGGAGGCAGCAGUGGGGAAUUUUGGACGAUGGGCGCAAGCCUGAUCCAGCCAUGCCGCGUGCAGGAUGAAGGCCUUCGGGUUGUAAACUGCUUUUGUACGGAACGAAAAAGCCCUCUCUAAUACAGGGGGUGAAUGACGGUACCGUAAGAAUAAGCACCGGCUAACUACG